UCGCUAGUAAUCGUGGAUCAGAAUGCACGGUGAAUACGUUCCCGGGCCUUGUACACACCGCCCGUCACACCAUGGGAGUGGGUUGCAAAAGAAGUAGGUAGCUUAACCUUCGGGAGGGCGCUUACCACUUUGUGAUUCAUGACUGGGGUGAAGUCGUAACAAGGUAACCGUAGGGGAACCUGCGGUUGGAUCACCUCCUUACCUUAAAGAAGC
rnacentral:rRNA from 1 species